GUGGGGAAUCUUGCGCAAUGGGCGAAAGCCUGACGCAGCCAUGCCGCGUGGAUGAUGAAGGUCUUAGGAUUGUAAAAUCCUUUCACCGGUGAAGAUAAUGACUGUAGCCGGAGAAGAAGCCCCGGCUAACUUCGUGCCAGCAGCCGCGGUAAUACGAAGGGGGCUAGCGUUGCUCGGAUUUACUGGGCGUAAAGGGCGCGUAGGCGGACAUUUAAGUCAGGGGUGAAAUCCCGGGGCUCAACCUCGGAACUGCCUUUGAUACUGGCUGUCUUGAGUUUGGGAGAGGUGAGUGGAACUCCGAGUGUAGAGGUGAAAUUCGUAGAUAUUCGGAAGAACACCAGUGGCGAAGGCGACUCACUGGCCCAAUACUGACGCUGAGGCGCGAAAGCGUGGGGAGCAAACAGGAUUAGAUACCCUGGUAGUCC
rnacentral:rRNA from 1 species